rnacentral:rRNA from 1 species
GAUGAACGCUGGCGGCGUGCCUAAUACAUGCAAGUCGAGCGAACAGACGAGGAGCUUGCUCCUCUGACGUUAGCGGCGGACGGGUGAGUAACACGUGGAUAACCUACCUAUAAGACUGGGAUAACUUCGGGAAACCGGAGCUAAUACCGUAUAAUAUAUUGAACCGCAUGGGUCAAUAGUGAAAGACGGUUUUUGUGUCACUUCUAGAUGGAUCCGCGCCGCAUUAGCUAGUUGGUAAGGUAACGGCUUACCAAGGCAACGAUGCGUAGCCGACGUGAGAGGGUGAUCGGCCACACUGGAACUGAGACACGGUCAAGACUCCUACGGGAGGCAGCAGUAGGGAAUCUUCCGCAAUGGGCGAAAGCUUGACGGAGCAACGCCGCGUGAGUGAUGAAGGUCUUCGGAUCGUAAAACUCUGUUAUUAGGGAAGAACAAAUGUGUAAGUAACUAUGCACGUAUUGACGGUACCUAAUAAGAAAGCCACGGCUAACUACGUG